rnacentral:rRNA from 1 species
GUCUAGAGGCAUCGGCAAUGGACGAAAGUCUGACCGUGCGACGCCGCGUGUGGGAUGAAGCCCCUUGGGGUGUAAACCACUUUCGAUCGGGAAAAAAACCCGGAUGGUGAAUUCGGGAUUGAUGGUACCGGAAGAAGAAGCACCGGCUAACUCCGUGCCAGCAGCCGCGGUAAUACGGAGGGUGCGAGCGUUAUUCGGAAUUAUUGGGCGUAAAGGGCGCGUAGGUGGUUGGGUAAGUCCGGUGUGAAAACGCUAUCGCUCACCGAAGCGAAUGCGCUGGAUACUGCUCAACUUGAGUCCGGGAGAGGUUAGCGGAAUACCUGGUGUAGCGGUGGAAUGCGUAGAUAUCAGGUAGAACACCAGUGGCGAAGGCGGCUAACUGGCCCGGUACUGACACUGAGGCGCGAAAGCGUGGGGAGCAAACGGGAUUAGAAACCCGAGUAGUCC